GCGACCGUGGUGAAAUUGGUAGACACGCUAUCUUGAGGGGGUAGUGCCUUCGGGUGUAUGGGUUCAAGUCCCAUCGGUCGCACCA
rnacentral:tRNA from 1 species